AAAAUAUCUGAGUUUUUCUCUCUUGGAUCAUCUUCAAUGGCUGCACUGACUUCAGCUUCAUUGACCCGUGUGCCUUUUUCCAUAUCUAACCGAAGAAAUUACAGACGAUUACCUAUUAUACUUGCAUCAUCUUCAUCAGCUAUGCCUUCUCACGAACCAUCAUCAUCGUCGUCGUCGUCCACAGAAAUUGGGAGUAUAUUAUCUUCACCAAAAGCGCCCUUUGUUGAUUCCUCAAAACCUCCUCAAAAUGGAUAUAUUGCAAGUCCCAAUGGAAGCCCACUUGUUAAAUUUGUUCAGCACACUGAAUCAACCAUUGAAAGGGCAAUAUUCGACUUCCG
rnacentral:misc_RNA from 1 species